rnacentral:sRNA from 1 species
UCCUAGCCCAGACAGUAACGGCAUCCUUUGUUUGCCUUCUUUAGGCAAGCAAAGAUACAGUGUAUGGCUGGAUUAGCU